rnacentral:lncRNA from 7 species
AGGCCAUUCUAUGAUUCUAUGACUUAUCCUCAUUUGCUUAUUUAUCCAUUCCAGAUCAGGGACCUUAGUGUUGAAAAAUCUAUAAUGAGAUUGUUGGUUUUUUUCUGUGUUUUUUUUUUUUUUUUUUUAUUUGAGAUGAUUUUCUCUGAAGCUGAGCACUAACAACACAGAAACUGGUUUGGACCUUUGAACCCCUGUAAAAAGAGAAAAAGGACAAUUGAUUCCUCCUGACAUCUUCAAAUGGCUGAAUCUGUUCGGUAUUAAAGCCCUCCUGUAUUGCUGGAGUAAGGAAAAGAAACCAGCACCUCUACGUGCGGUAUGUGUGAUACUUCCACCUGUGAUACCUCACCUGAACCUAUCUUGCAAUGUAACUGUAGUGACUCCAGUUAAAUCAACGAGAAAAUGACUGAGCUUAACUUUGAGGCAAUUGGACUCAUUUCAGCAGUGGUGAAGGUUUGUCCCAUCUAAUUCCCUACGUCUGAAGUUUUUUGUCUAUAAAUUUGUUCUGCAGAAAAUUGAGAGAAAUGUGUAGACAGGAAACAUUUCUUGUCAUCCUGAGACACAAGAUAGGAAUCAUCCUCUGAAGGCUUGUCAUUUCAGCCACUAACUUUAAAAUGAGAUGAGGUGAUUAACUUUUCUUUAAAUAAAGUCAAGUGAUAUGUCUAUAAACAGCUGUGAAGCUGAAAGUGUAUUAGAACAUUGAGGUAACACUGACAAGUUGAAAACACUUAAACUUACAAAUUGACAUAGAUCUUUAAUAAGCUUGCUUUGGUUCACUAGAUUUCCCUUUGAAUUUGGCCCUAAAUCAACUGCAACUAGUAGUUUGUGAAUGAAAUGAAGAACAGCUGUGCCUUCAUAACGUAAAUCUCACAGACAGGGGAAAUCAUUCAAUCAAGUUAGUGGUAAAAUUAGCAUCUUUACUUUUCAUUUCCUCUCUUGUCUCUCAGAGGAGUUUCAUUAGGACUGACAACUGAUGAUACUGGAUUUGCAGACCAGGGACAUGCUAUAGUUGAUCUGUGGAAUCAUAGAUGUUCUUCAGACUUCAUUUUUGUUGAUAAUUGAAUCUGGUCUACCACUAAAUUAAUUAUUUCAGAUUUUCUGUACGUUGUGCAGAGGUGAUUAACACGGACAGUAUACAGCGGUAUGCUUCCACUCAUGUAGCAGAUCACAAAAAGAACAGAGAAAGCAUAACCCCUUCCUACUGCAAGCAGUUAAUUAGCAAACUUUCAUAUUUACCACCUUGUUAUAUGGCUCUGGUUGGAGAAUGCACGGCCUAGGUUUUCUUAUUCCAAAGCACUGCGCCAUGAGAUGCCAACCAGAAGCAAAGCAGGGUGCUCUCUUGUGGGGCAGAUCAUCCUCCACAUGGGCAUGCUCACAGUCCCUCUGAGCUAAUACAAGCAGGCUGUUGUGUUAUUGGUAGUAGCACUGCUGAUGUUAUUCCAACCUGUGUUUAUGGGGAAGGUUAUGCUGUGACUCUUAUGAGUUUCAAUUAUCUGGGAAGAGAACAUUCCAUUUUCAAAUCAGUUAUUUAUAGGCUAUAAAACACAUAUGCACAUACGGUGGCAUGAUUUUACAUUAGAAAACGUUAAAUUGAAUUUUUCCUAUGUCCUUUCAAAGUGUGAAAUGAAAUGAAUUUAACUUGCAUGCUAAUAAGAUUCUACUUGCUUUCUUUAGAGAAGGCAUGCACUUUUAAAAUGCUCUUUCUAAUAUUCAAUUUCCACCCACUAGGUCAUUCCUUUUAUUAUCAGUGAUUAAAACUAAGUCUCUGUGCUUGUAAACUUGCCCUGUCUCGAUGAACACUCAUGUCUUACUAAGGAUAGUUUAAAAUACCCUACUGGGAAAACCUGGCCAACUGAAAAUGGAUUCAUAGAUGGUCAGACAGAAAGAAAGAUGAAAAAUAUUUCUCAUCUUCAUCUCCAAAGCCAUGAACAUUCACAACCAUUCUACAAUUCAGGAAUGAGUGCCCUAAAGCAAAACUAGAAAUGUAUUUGCAAUUUAAUAUUUUUUUUUCUUACUAGCAAAGACAUUCUGAUAUAUCAGAAAAAAAUAUAGCAUAUUAUGUGAUACAUCCAGCAAGCUGCUCAUAUCUUUUGGCUGCAGUAGUGGUCCAUAUGUUUGACAUCCUUUAUGUAACCCAGCGAUACAUCAUUAAUUGUAACUUCAUGCCAGGGCAAUUGGCAGGCUCUGUGGACAAUGACAACAACUACUGCCUCCUAAAAUUCUUUGAUAAACUACAGGGAAAUUUUAAUAUCUUCCUAUAAUCUAAAAAAAAUAUAUAGCAUUCUGGGAGUAUCACAUCCUUGUACUUUAAAAUGAAAACAGCCUGUGGGUGAAAAAAAAUGUUUCAUAGGGAGCUGCAGAAAGGAUAGAGAAAUACAUCUCUUUAGAAUCUGAGAAUUAUUUCCAGUGCUAAGUGGAACUGUUCUU